AACGAACGCUGGCGGCAUGCCUAACACAUGCAAGUCGAACGAACCCUUCGGGGUUAGUGGCGCACGGGUGCGUAACGCGUGGCAAUCUGCCCUUUGCUUCGGAAUAACAGUUAGAAAUGACUGCUAAUACCGGAUGAUGUCUUCGGACCAAAGAUUUAUCGGCAAAGGAUGAGCCCGCGUAGGAUUAGGUAGUUGGUGGGGUAAAGGCCUACCAAGCCGACGAUCCUUAGCUGGUCUGAGAGGAUGAUCAGCCACACUGGGACUGAGACACGGCCCAGACUCCUACGGGAGGCAGCAGUGGGGAAUAUUGGACAAUGGGGGAAACCCUGAUCCAGCAAUGCCGCGUGAGUGAUGAAGGCCUUAGGGUUGUAAAGCUCUUUUACCAGGGAUGAUAAUGACAGUACCUGGAGAAUAAGCUCCGGCUAACUCCGUGCCAGCCGCCGCCGUAAUAC
rnacentral:rRNA from 1 species